rnacentral:rRNA from 1 species
AGCGAACGCUGGCGGCGUGCUUAACACAUGCAAGUCGAGCGGUAAGGCCCUUCGGGUACACGAGCGGCGAACGGGUGAGUAACACGUGGGUGACCUGCCUCUAGCUCUGGGAUAAGCCUGGGAAACUGGGUCUAAUACCGGAUAUGACUCCACGGCGCAUGUUGUGGGGUGGAAAGCCUUGUGUGGCUAGAGAUGGGCCCGCGGCCUAUCAGCUUGUUGGUGGGGGAUGGCCUACCAAGGCGACGACGGGUAGCCGGCCUGAGAGGGCGACCGGCCACACUGGGACUGAGACACGGCCCAGACUCCUACGGGAGGCAGCAGUGGGGAAUAUUCCGCAAUGGACGAAAGUCUGACGGAGCGACGCCGCGUGCAGGAUGAAGUCCCUCGGGAUGUAAACUGCUGUCAGGGGUGAGGAAUAAGUUGACCAACCCCAGAGGAAGCA